rnacentral:rRNA from 1 species
CCUACGGGAGGCAGCAGUGGGGAAUAUUGCACAAUGGGGGAAACCCUGAUGCAGCGACGCCGCGUGAGUGAAGAAGUAAUUCGUUAUGUAAAGCUCUAUCAGCAGGGAAGAAACAGACGGUACCUGAGUAAGAAGCCCCGGCUAACUACGUGCCAGCAGCCGCGGUAAUACGUAGGGGGCAAGCGUUAUCCGGAUUUACUGGGUGUAAAGGGAGCGUAGACGGCGAAGAAAGUCUGAAGUGAAAGCCCGCGGCUUAACCGCGGAACUGCUUUGGAAACUUUUUUGCUGGAGUACCGGAGAGGUAAGCGGAAUUCCUAGUGUAGCGGUGAAAUGCGUAGAUAUUAGGAGGAACACCAGUGGCGAAGGCGGCUUACUGGACGGUAACUGACGUUGAGGCUCGAAAGCGUGGGGAGCAAACAGGAUUAGAUACCCUAGUAG